ACGGAGGGGGCUAGCGUUGUUCGGAAUUACUGGGCGUAAAGCGCACGUAGGCGGCUUUGCAAGUUAGAGGUGAAAGCCCGGGGCUCAACCCCGGAAUUGCCUUUAAAACUGCAUCGCUAGAAUCGUGGAGAGGUGAGUGGAAUUCCCAGUGUAGCGGUGAAAUGCGUAGAUACUGGGAGGAACACCAGUGGCGAAGGCGGCUACCUGGACCGGUUCUGACGCUGAGGCGCGAAAGCGUGGGUAGCAAACAGGA
rnacentral:rRNA from 1 species